rnacentral:rRNA from 1 species
GACGAACGCUGGCGGCGUGCUUAACACAUGCAAGUCGAACGGAAAGGCCCUGCUCUUGUGGGGUGCUCGAGUGGCGAACGGGUGAGUAACACGUGAGUAACCUGCCCUUGACUUUGGGAUAACUUCAGGAAACUGGGGAUAAUACCGGAUAGGAGCUCCUGCUGCAUGGUGGGGGUUGGAAAGUUUCGGCGGUUGGGGAUGGACUCGCGGCUUAUCAGCUUGUUGGUGGGGUAGUGGCUUACCAAGGCUUUGACGGGUAGCCGGCCUGAGAGGGUGACCGGCCACAUUGGGACUAAGGUACGGCCCAGUCUCCUACGGGAGGCAGCAGUGGAGAAUAUUGCACAAUGGGCGGAAGCCUGAUGCGGCAACGCCGCGUGCGGGAUGACGGCCUUCGGGUUGUAAACCGCUUUCGCCUGUGACGAAGCGUGAGUGACGGUAAUGGGUAAAAAAGCACCGGCUAACUACGUG